UAAAUACAUUCGCCGGGAAAAAAAGAAAAGUGGAGGCCUGCAGUUAGCACCAUCUCCAGAGGAAAGAACAACUGCCACUGAAGAAGACGUGAAGACGACAUGGGACGGUGGGAGAUGAUCAGAGUAGAUAUGGUUUCAUCAGAUAUUCACCCCUCUCUCGAUUUACCAUUCAUAUAAAAGGAGAAAAGAAACACGGAGAGAGGAGUAGAGCAAAAUCAAACUGAUAAAGAGAAAAAAUUUAGUAUCAAAAUCGGUGAUUGCAGAUUCACCUAAGUUUUUCAGGUAUCUUCAUCUUUUCUGCGCAGCGUGAAAGCAAGUAUUCAUGUUCUCAUUAUCUUCAUAUUUCUGCUGUAUGCGGUGAAGUUAACCGAAUGAAAAUGAAGUCCGUAUUACUGCAGGAGCAGGAGCAUCCCAAUUGCUCGGUCGUAGGGUCGCACCUCAGAUUCCCAUCGCUCUCAAACUGAGCACCGCCACCGAUAAAGCGCCUUUUGAUUUCAGGUACCUCUUCAUCGCAUUUAUAAACUAGGAAAGGACUGAAACAAUGACAACUGUAGAAUCCGUUAAAUGUAAUGGAUAUACAUAUCGUCAUGUUAGUAAGUUGAUGAAAGUGGUAGAGAUUUGCUUCUCAUAUAUCCAUUACCUUGAACAGUGGUAGAGAUUUGCUUAUCGUCAUCUUAGACUAUAUAUCAUAUGGUCUAAUAUAUCUAUAUCACAAAGACAGGCUUCCAGGUUCAAUAUUAAGAUAUGAGCAGUAAAUUGUUUUUGCUUUAAUUUUUACCAAAUUAGGAACUAACAUAUAAGCAGCAAACUCUUUUCCACUUGCUUUGAAUCAUGCUUUUAAGGCCUCUGUAUGUUGUUAUUGUUACACUAGGAAGAGUGGGAAUUGGUUGUCUAUCUUCUUUAAAAUAUCCUUUGUUUGAUUUUAGACUACCUAAAACACUUGGAAAGGGUAUAUUAUCCAUUAUCUUGAACAGUGGAGCCACCAAAGUUUAAUUAAGGCAUUCAGCAGUGGUUAAUUAUAAUAGCUUAGUUUUCUUUUCCUCUAUCAUAUGGUUCCUUUUCAGUUUUGUUCUCAUUUUAUCAAUUCUGGUAAUUGGUAGUGUUAGACAUAGUUUCCAUUCAAUCUAUUAUAUUACUUUGAUUGAUUGUUUUAUGGGGUGAGUGUUGAAUGUUUUAUUUCGUUUUCAGUUUAGAUUUGGUAUUAUAUUCUUUUCAUCUUAUAGGAAUCUUAUAUUAUGGAUGGUGGAAGCGUCUUGAUCCAUGUAAUCUGGCUUCCAAUCCUCUAGAAUAAAAUAAAUACCUGAAUGCACCGUGUAAUUGACAUUAAUUAAUGUAGUGAAUAUAUAGGUAUUAACUAUUCAUCAACCGGUUUCAGUUCACGUCUAAGUAUUCUUUGUAUUCUGUACCACUGCCUGGUGCGAUUAUAUUAAGAAUUUGGACUAAGCAAGUGGAGAACUGGGUCAGUGUUAUGGUCUACCAUUGGUUGCUAAGGAACUCGCAGGAAUCAUUCCCAAACUCAUUUGUGAAUUAAGAGUAUUCUUCUCAACUUUUGCUAAAUGUAUUCUUCUUUUUUGCUAAAUGUAUUCUUCUUUGGUUUUUGCUUCCUUUUGUUUUCUGUUUUUUUUUUUCUUUAUGGUUUGAUGACUGUCAUAUAUGUUUGUGGUUUCUUUUUCCAAUUGAUCUCUAUUUCUGAACAAAUCCUGAUACAGUAUAUCGAAAAGGGAAACGCAGCCCAACGAGAGGAAAGGAAAUCCUUCCUCGGUCUGCAAAUUCGAGUAUAAGAUUUUCGAAAAGAUGAUUGUUGAUUGGUUUUUACUUCCUGUUGUUUUUUUUUUUUUUUUCUGAGUUUUGCUGGUAUCUUGAAGCGAUGAUUAAUUCUUUUAAUCCAGUUAACUUUUGCUAUUCAUUUUCUUCUCCUUUUCCAUCGAAUACAAUUGUAUUUUCCUUUUCAUGUCAUCAUGAUUAUGAUUUCCAUUGGUUUGAUUCAUUUUUUCUUUUGAAGCUAUAAUUUCUGUUCAAGGAGCUCCAGAGUUUAGUAUGGCACUCAUUUGAUCAUUGCUCGGAACAUUUCCACAUGACAAUUUUACCAGAAUUAAAAUCUAUUGUGUCUUGCAACUUGCAAGUUAUGCUAAUCAAUUUCCAGGUAACAUAAUAGUUGCUAGGGGGAGAGGAGAGGGAGAGAUUUAACUGGUUAUAUGCUUCUGUGUUAGUGGCAGAUCAAUCAUGGAGUUUGGGUGAUGAACUAAAAUAACUAAAACUAUCAGAUUCCCCGGCAUGUAAGGGUUUUGGGAUCUGGUGAACUUUAAGCACAAACAUCCUCUUGUUCAUUCACAUGGACCUCUUGUUCUUUUGCAAUUUGGAUCUUUAGUUCUAUGCUUUAACUAUGUACCUAGUGAAACUUCUUUAAUUAGUAGCAAAACUACAUUUUCCAUUAUACGACAGCUAAGUACUUUAUAUAUUAGUUUCUUUCACUUUUGCAAAGUUCACUCAAGAAAUUUCAACCGCGAAAGCAUUGUAAAUGUGAUUACUUGAAGUAGUUCUUUAUUAAUAUAUUGCAAUUUUAUUUUAAUUUCA